CGCUCCCCUGUAAGAAGUGACACCGUGGCGCUAGCGUGGCACUAUUCCUCCCGGGCCCAGCCGCCCGAGUGCUCUGUGGGGCCCCGGAGGCAACCACCUUGUGCCGGCAGCGCCAUGACUCCUGGCCCUGCGGCCCCGAGGCGAGGUUUUCCUGGAAGAGUGGACAAGCUUAGCUGAGCUGAGGGGUGGCGGGAAUGACCCCCCGGUCCGCGCGGAGCAAGAGGGUAACCCAGGCACCACGUGCGGAGCUAGAGGUCCGGGAGGAGAACACUUGGGGCAAUGUCCUUUCCUACGCGGCUCCUUCCUGAGCCUGCCCCUCCUGUCUGAGAGCCCGCACAACUCACCUCUGCCCGGCUCUCCUACUCCUGGUCCUCACAGAGGGGAAAGACACCUACCCCUUGCCUCGUGUUCGAGAAGCCUGUGAUCCACUGUCUCUGAGACUGAAGCCCCCAAUAGGGCUGUUUCUGUGUCUCUAACUCCCUGCUGUGGAUUUGCUGCUGUUAACCUUGUGCGUGACCUUGCGCGGCUCCCCCAGCUGGUUCACGGGUCACGCGUUGGAACCACACGGAUGUGUUGGCUCGCGCAUGCGACGCGCCCCCGGAGAAGGAAGGUCUCAAGCUUUCAAACCCGGGGAUUCACGUGUUUAACUUCUCCCACAGUGAAACCUCCUGCGUGGUGCUGGAGUGUCCCCUGCUGCGGGAGGCAGAGGACCGUCAACAGAAAAUACAGACGCCUGUCCGCGGUCUUGCGGGGAGGGGCAGCAGCCUGGAACCCAUUGGGACCCCUGGAUUCCUGUGAAGUCACCGACCUUCCUGCCCGUUCCCACUCCCGCACAGAAGAGAGUGCUUUAUGAAGAUCCCGCGUCUGUUAUUUUAAGGGAAUGAAAACACGGUACCUCCCGUCUACAUGUGGAUAAUGCGUGUAUAUGUAGACAGCUCAAGUGAAACGGAAAAUUAAAAAUCAUUUAAGAAAACUUGCCACCACUGUCAUGGUUCAGUCAA
rnacentral:lncRNA from 1 species